GUCAAUUUAGAAAGUUUAUUUUGCCAAGGUUAAGGACAUGCCCAUAACACAGCCUCAGGAGGUCCUGAUGACAUGUGCUCAAGGUGGUAGGGGUACAGCUUGGAUUUUUACAUUUUAGGGAGAUAUGAGACAUCAAUCAGUAUGUGUAACAUGUACACUGGUUUGGUCUGAAAAGGUGGUACAACUCGGUCUGGAAAGCCAGGAGGGGGCUUCCAGAUCAUAGGUAGAUAAGAGACAAACUAUUGCAUUCUUUUGAAUUUCUGAUUACCUUUUCAUCGAAUACACAAUUUAUAGUCACUUAUGCCUUAGUCUGGCUUAGUGAAACAACAGGGCAAAGGAAGCAAUCAGAUACGCAUUUGUCUCACAUGAGCAGAGGGAUGACUUUGAGUUCUGUUUGUCCUUUGUCCACAAGGAACUUCCUGGUGGGCACAUUGUGAGGAAGUAUGUAGCUUUUUUUUUUUUUUUUUUAUCUUCAUAGCUAUCUUAUUUUAGGAAUAGAAUGGGAGUCAGGUUUGCCCAGUGCAGUUCCCAUUGGCUUGACCUUUUCCUUUGGCUUAGUGAUUUGGGGGUCCUGAGAUCAAUUUCCAUUCACAGUACUCAUGACCAAAUCCAGCUUUGCAAGCAACCAUGUCUUGCAAAUAUAGGUCCUGAUUAGAACAUCAAAAUUUAUCCAAAAUAUCCUGAGAUUUAAAAAUCAGUUGCCACCUAUUAAUGACCUGAAAUAUUAAUAUACAUGUACGUUAGUAUAUAAAUCUAGUCACAAAAAUAGUCAUACACAAAUCUAAUUUCUAACUGUUACCUAAAAAGCAGGUUAGUAUAUAACAUUAUAUAUGUAAUCUGUAGAUAUAAUGUUUACAUUAAGAAAACAACUUUUGGCUGGGCUCAAUGGCUCGUAUCUAUAAUCUCAACAGUUUGGGAAGCAAGGGUUGGAGGAUCACUUGAGGCCAGGAGUUUGAGACCAGUCAGGGCAACACAGUGAGACCCAUCUCUACAAAAAUAAAAAGAAAAACAGCCGGGCUACUGGCUUGUUCUUGUAGUUCCAGCUACUCAGGAGGCUGAGGUGGGAGGAUGGCUUGACCCCAAGA
rnacentral:lncRNA from 1 species